rnacentral:rRNA from 1 species
UACGUAGGGGGCAAGCGUUGUCCGGAUUUAUUGGGCGUAAAGCGCUCGCAGGUGGUUCGUUGCGUCGUGCGUGAAAGACCCCGGCUCAACUGGGGGAUGUCGUGCGAUACGGGCGGACUGGAGGCCAGUAGGGGGAUGCGGAAUUCCGGGUGUAGUGGUGGAAUGCGUAGAGAUCCGGAGGAACACCAGCGGCGAAGGCGGCAUCCGUGG